rnacentral:rRNA from 1 species
UACGAAGGGAGCUAGCGUUGUUCGGAAUCACUGGGCGUAAAGCGCACGUAGGCGGAUGUGUCAGUCAGGGGUGAAAUCCCGGAGCUCAACUUCGGAACUGCCUUUGAUACAGCAUGUCUUGAGUCCGAUAGAGGUGGGUGGAAUUCCUAGUGUAGAGGUGAAAUUCGUAGAUAUUAGGAAGAACACCGGUGGCGAAGGCGGCCCACUGGAUCGGUACUGACGCUGAGGUGCGAAAGCGUGGGGAGCAAACAGG